UACGUAGGGUCCAAGCGUUGUCCGGAUUUAUUGGGCGUAAAGAGCUCGUAGGCGGCUCAGUAAGUCGGAUGUGAAAACUCGGGGCUCAACCCCGAGACGCCAUCCGAUACUGCUGUGGCUUGAGUCUGGUAGGGGAACACGGAAUUCCUGGUGUAGCGGUGAAAUGCGUAGAGAUCGGGAGGAAUACCGGUGGCGAAAGCGACUCUCUGGACGGCAACUGACGCUGAGGCACGAAAGCGUGGGGAGCAAACAGG
rnacentral:rRNA from 1 species